rnacentral:rRNA from 1 species
GACGAACGCUUGCGGCGUGCUUAACACAUGCAAGUCGAACGAUGAAGCUGGAGCUUGCUCCGGUGGAUUAGUGGCGAACGGGUGAGUAACACGUGAGCAAUCUGCCCUUGACUCUGGGAUAACUGCGGGAAACUGUCGCUAAUACCGGAUACGAAGCCUGGAGGCAUCUCCGGGUUUGGAAAGAAUUUCGGUCAAGGAUGAGCUCGCGGCCUAUCAGCUAGUGGGUGAGGUAACGGCUCACCAAGGCGACGACGGGUAGCCGGCCUGAGAGGGUGACCGGCCACACUGGGACUGAGACACGGCCCAGACUCCUACGGGAGGCAGCAGUGGGGAAUAUUGCACAAUGGGCGAAAGCCUGAUGCAGCACCGCCGCGUGAGGGAUGAAGGCCUUCGGGUUGUAAACCUCUUUUAGCAGGGAAGAAGCGAAAGUGACGGUACCUGCGGAAAAAGCACCGGCUAACUACGUGCCAGCAGCCGCGGUAA